GAUGAAGAACGCAGCGAAAUGCGAUAAGUAAUGUGAAUUGCAGAAUUCAGUGAAUCAUCGAAUCUUUGAACGCACAUUGCGCCCCCUGGUAUUCCGGGGGGCAUGCCUGUCCGAGCGUCAUUACAACCCUCAAGCUCAGCUUGGUGUUGGGCCCCGCCGCCCCGGCGGGCCCUAAAGUCAGUGGCGGUGCCGUCCGGCUCCGAGCGUAGUAAUUCUUCUCGCUCUGGAGGUCCGGUCGUGUGCUCGCCAGCAACCCCCAAUUUUUUUCAGGUUGAUCUCGGAUCAGGUAGGGAUACCCGCUGAACUUAAGCAUAUCAAUAAGCGGAGGA
rnacentral:misc_RNA from 1 species